UAUAUUACAUACACUGUCAAGAUCGGGCCGGAUUCGGAGCGAAUUUUAAAAAAUUUGAACCCGAACCCAACUCCAAAUUCAAAAUCCGAACUCAAAACCGAACCCGAACCCGACAGAUUUUAAAAAUCAAUAUCCAAACAUGAAUCCAACAAAAAAUUCGAACUCAAAAUCGAACCCGAACUCGACAGAUUUUAAAAAUCAAUAUCCGAACGUGAAUCCAACAAAAAAUCCGAAACCUGAAUCGGAAUCCGAACACGAAAACAACUAUUUCUCUUUUCAAUAUUUCAAAAUAUAUUACAAUAAAUCUAAAUUUAUAAAAUACAAAUUGAAAUACAACAUCAACUUUUAUAUACAUAUUAUAUGUAAUAUAAAAUAAAUUCGGGUUUGGAUCGGAUUCAGCCGUUCAGGUUCAGAUCGCGUACAGUCAAAAUCCAUAUCUGAAUUCAUAUCCGUCGAGUUUUUAUUUUUCACGAAAUUAUAUCCAUCUAACAUCGAAUAAAUCCGCUCUAUUCAGACUCAGAUUAUGAUAAAAUUUCGAAUAUCUUAAUCUAUUGACAUCCCUAAUAGCAUCAA
rnacentral:lncRNA from 1 species